GAUGAAUGCUGGCGGCAUGCCUAAUACAUGCAAGUCGAGCGGUAACAGGACUAGCUUGCUAGUUGCUGACGAGCGGCGGACGGCUGAGUAACGCAUGGGAACGCACCCCAAACUGAGGGAUAACUAGUCGAAAGAUUAGCUAAUACCGCAUGUGAUCUUCGGAUUAAAGCCUUCGGGCGGUUUGGGAGCGGCCUGUGUACGAUUAGAUAGUUGGUGAGGUAAUGGCUCACCAAGUCGACGAUCGUUAGAUGGUUUGAGAGGAUGAUCAUCCAGACUGGAACUGAGACACGGUCCAGACUCC
rnacentral:rRNA from 1 species